CGCCGGACCUGACUGCUAUCGGAUUGAUANUAAGCCAUGCGAGUCAUUGUAGCAAUACAAGGCAUACGGCUCAGUAACGCGUAGUCAACCUAACCUAUGGACGGGAAUAACCUCGGGAAACUGAGAAUAAUGCCCGAUAGAACAUUAUGCCUGGAAUGGUUUAUGUUCCAAAUGAUUUAUCGCCGUAGGAUGGGACUGCGGCCUAUCAGUUUGUUGGUGAGGUAAUGGCCCACCAAGACUAUUACAGGUACGGGCUCUGAGAGGAGUAGCCCGGAGAUGGGUACUGAGACACGGACCCAGGCCCUAUGGGGCGCAGCAGGCGAGAAAACUUUGCAAUGUGCGAAAGCACGACAAGGUUAAUCCGAGUGGUCUCUGCUAAAGAAACCUUUUGUCAGUCCUAGAAACACUGAUGAAUAAGGGGUGGGCAAGUUCUGGUGUCAGCC
rnacentral:rRNA from 1 species